rnacentral:misc_RNA from 1 species
CCAAUGCCACCAUAUCAUUAUAUUGACAAGGACAGUGAUUUUCAUUCACAUCACAAGCUUCCGUAUGACCAACAGUAGCAUACCACCAACCAUAAGGAAAUUCUUUGCUUCUUCUCCAUUGAAUCUCAAUAUGAUCACCAGGUUUCAAGUCAUUUAAACAGUCAGAAAUGUGAAGAUCAUGUGCAGGAGUAUCAACAGGUGGUGCUCUUAGCCUAUCCCUGUGUAUGCUUUCCUCUAUCAUUCGCCGUCCGUAAGGAGAAUACCUUGCCUGAAAUGUGUCUGUCUUGGAAUCAUAACUUAUUUGAGCAUCAUAACAGGAAAGCAAAAACCCAACAUGUCCAUUCUCACGGUUAUAGACCUGAGCUGGGAACCAGAAUUUGCCUCUUUCAAGAGAGAGAUACAUAGCCAUGAUUGAAUCAACUGGUAAAGAAGUACUUGGCUUGUUUCUAGUUUCAAACUUUGGUUUAAUCCAAGAAAAUG